GGAACAACACGCAUUCGUGUUGUCACACUUCCAACAUGUCACUUCACACAAAGGAAUAGGCAGGGACAGGAUAGCCAGACAAAGUUCCAACCUGAACUGCUGCCAUGGUGACACCACUGCUCCAAUGGUCCUCCCGAGGAACAGGGCUGAAUGUAAAGCAGUAUAUACUCUGAGAUUCGCCCUGCUGAGCCCCCACUGCUGCUCUCUGUGCUGUAUAUUUGGGCAAAGGUGUGAUGGAUGUUUUAAAUGGAAGAAGAAAAGAGAUGAGGACAGAUGAGGAAGGGA